UGAGAUUGGCGGGAAACCUUGGGCCCCCGAGUGCCGGCAGCUAUUGAGAGAUGGGGGGCGCCCACACUGCAAAAUCGCCCUUUUUGGAUCUUCAGGGAUAUUACCUAUGCAGAAUCCCACCGGUUUCUCGCCCUUGGGCCGGAUGUAACUGAAAUACCUGGACACGACAGCUACAGUUCGGGGUGAUCUAGUGAGCCCCUCAACGUCCAUAGAGAUUUGGGAGUGUGGUGUGUGACUGUGAGAAGAACGACUUGUGUGUGUCAACCAUACUCUUCUUUGAAAUCCUUUUCCAUAGUCUCCGAAGAACUCAUCUUUCAACGUGCUGUUGUUUUUGCUCAUUAUUUUUGUUACUGUUCCCCCACUAGAUUUUGAACCCUUUGAAGGCACUACUGUCUUUUAUGUGCUUUCAGAAAAAUGCACGAAACCUGGUAGAUUAGGCUGUUGAGGAAAAAAUAAACAUUUGCCUCUGAAACACAUACCCUCUCUUUUGAGGGUGUCUUUUGCUAUAUUCCCAAAUGAAAUUGUUUAGGACAACUCUGCAAACAGUUGCCAACCUAACGUUUACCUACUGCCAAUGAUAACUUUAUUUUCUUUAUAAAGAAGAAAGGAUGAGUUCCUAGACUCAGUGCCUGAUUGUUCACUUUCUUUAUACCUUCACCAGUACCAGAUGUGGUGGCAAUUAAUACCUUGGAGAGAAAAAAAAUCCUGCCUCCCUCCCCCAGCUUUCCCCACCCAAAGAGAUACGUGCAUUUUCUCUUCCUUAAGAAACAGAACUGGAGAGACAAAAAAAGAAAAACCCCAUCAGCAAGAGCAGAAACUAAGACAGAAAGAAAGCAGUAUUCAGACUUUCUGAGUAAGCAGAAACCAUGAAUAAACAAGAACCCUGAGCAAACAAAAGCCACUAGACAGCAAAAAGACACUCAGAGUAAUGACAAGUGAUAGAAGAUAGCCAAGAAAACAUUAGAUUCUUAGGAGAGAGAGUCAAUGGCCAGGCUGGGAUGCAAGGUCCACCCUGGAGCCAAGGUGGAGCGAGCUCCUGUGUGACGGAGCAGGAGAAUGGUGCUAGCAGGCGGUGUCUACAGGUGUGCAUCAGCGCUGAGUUCAGAUGGAAUCAGUACUGUGGAUGCCGCAAUCACACAGGAGCCAAAAUUAGGAGGGUGCAAGGAAGCCAGAGAAAGCAGAGGAAACCAGUCUGCUGAGAAAAGCAGAAAAGUGUAGCAGACGCUCGGAGAGAAGCCUGGAUGGCAGAUGAUGCAGCCACGUGAGAGAUGGAGCUGUUUCUAAUCUUCCUGUUUCAGUCCCAUCCCAGAGGGGCCUGACUGUGCUGACCCCUGCACUUUAAUGCCCCUGAAGAUUGCCAUCUGUUUCUGUGCAGAGCAGCUCCUUUUCUAUUUGUAUUGGAGUGAGCAUUUUUAUGCAUUGGGGAUAAAGAUGGUACAUUUGACUGGAAGUUUCUUGCUAUCUACUUAUCUUUCAGGAUGGAGCAUGGCAGACAAGGUACAAAAGGUGGAAAAUAUAAAUGGUUAGUGUGAAGAAGAACAAACUGGAACCACCCAAGGCAUUUUGCGUAACUUCUCUCAUUUCACCUGUAGUAUGAAGGAGGUCACUGAUGAGACUCCUAAAGGGGAAAGACUGUCCAUCCUCAUUAGUUACAGAUUCUGUAUUUGCAGAUUUGCAAACUCACAAAAACUUAUUCAUAACCACAAAUCAAUACUCUUAGAGUUCUCAAGGUCAUUUUGAAGACAUGAGCAGAGUGGUGAAACACUUGAGUUGUCAAUAUGCACGUUCCCAGCUGAGAAAAGAAAGAAAAUGCUGCUGCUUAGCUUCCAGUAUUCCUUCUACUGCAUAAUGCUGCCUUCACUACAACUUCACCAGCACUAGUGUGGGAAAUGAACAGAAUUAGGACAGAAACCAGUGCACUCCCUCAGAUAUUGGGCUUGAGCCAUGGUGUCUAAGAAUCACUUUCUGAGGAAUUGGUCUCUGUUUGACCCAAUUGGCCCUUUAAAUAAAGUGACCCAUGAUGCCUUACACUGAGUAUGAGGGUGAUCUGACUGCUCUGCCCAAACAGGAAGGGAACAUUUUAAUAUUACAAGACAAAAUAUUAUCAUCUUGUACAUCUCUAAAGAAAUCAUGUUUCUGUCACCAGACCAGCUCUUAAAAUAAGACAAAUGGAGCAGAAUAUGGAUGAUCACACUGAGAUUUGUGGAACUAGCCUUAGAGUUCCACAGAGUCAUCCAGGAACUCCUCACACAGGAGUGAAGGUACUUGGUAAGAGGCAAGCAGAAUGGGCGUCCUGCCCACCUUCAAUCAGACCAGUUCUGCUGUUAUCACUUUUCCAUAUUGGGAUGCAAUGUAAUAUCGCAAAAGGAAAAAGAUGGAGUAUAGCACUAACAUAACCUCCUGAGGGUCAUUUUAGCCUUUUGAAUGUCUAGACUGGAAUCUAACCCUACAGCCCUGUGAUUCUGGGACAUUUGUCAUAGUUGUCCUCAGUUGAUUGAGCAGUUCUUCCAGUGUCUUGGUUAUUCACUGAAUGUGCCUCAGGAACUUUGGUAGAGGUGGUGCUCUCUAGAACAAAAUGGUCACUUCAGGUAGUGAGUGAUGCAGGGGUUAUUGAGAUAGAGAAGAGGCAAGUUUCCCUCAGACACUUAUCUGCACUGUAGACAGAAUGUAUGCUGAUGAAGAGGGGAAGUCAGAUUCCUGUUGGAGAUGGUGCUGAUCAAGCCCUAGACAGCGGAAGUUGCUACAGAAAAGGAAGCUCUCACGCUGAUGAUGAAUGGGGUAAGGAGAGGUACACAGAUCUUUUGAGAAUCAUUACUUGUAGGGACUAUAUAUAUGAUUAGGAUAUUAAUAUCCUCCAUUCUGAGACUCUACUGCACUUGUCACUGAUUGGCUCACAGUGAGUCAAUAUGAUACUCUCAAAGCAAGCAGAGUCCCAUUAAAGUAUCACUUAUUUAAAUUAAAGGAGAUAACAACUUCGAAAAUCUAAAGUCAGCAUCUCAUAAGCUACAAUGUCUGAGUGAGUCACCAUUUAACAAAGACAACAAGUACAACGAAGUCCAGAUCUUCUCUUCAUUUUAAGAGCAUGCUUAAUCUCUGCUGCCCUGAGUUACUUAGUCAUCCAUCAGGAAAGAAUAUUCAAAGAAUACCCAACAUUUAUUGAUGGACCACUUUAAUCCUUACAAUAAUGAACUUGUAUAACUCAAAAAUCUCAAAAUGUCCUCUCAAAUCCAUCUUACCCCACUUCUGUAGUAACAAGGUUCCCAGUUCUUAGCUGUGCACAAGGCUGCCUAGAGCGUCCCAGCCUCCCUUGCUAUCAGGUGUGACCAUGCGACUACAUUCUUACCAGUGAUACAAGCAGAAGGGGUGUAUGGCAGCUUCAGUUUUCCUCAGAAGACAUGCCCUUUGUCUCUUCUUCAUCCUCCUGUCCUCCAUCCUGCUUCCUGGAUGCAAUGGAUGCUCCUCUGGUCACCAGCUUGGACCAUAACGGGGAGGCCCAUGCCUGAGAAUGAGGGGCAGUGAGAUGAGCCUGGGCACCUGAGGAUAGAGGAGAGCAGCUCUGGAUUUUCUACCUCAGCACUUUGCUGUGAGUGAAAAAUGAACUAUGUCAUUUUAAACCAUUUAUAGCAUGUUUCUUGCUCACAGCCAAUACUAAUGCAAACUGAUAUACCCUAUGUGUUAGCAACUAUAUUAUUCCAGUGUUUCAAAUGAGGAAAUUGCAACUUUGUCAGAUUAAAUCACUUUCCCAAAUCACCCACUCUGCAGGAGUCAGAAUUCGAACCCUGAUUUUUGCCAAAGUCCAUGUGCUUUCUUCCUUCUAAGUAUUCACUUUCAGGUGAACCCUAGGUGGGUGAUAGUUUUUGCCUUAUGUGGCUGGCAAGAGAUUUUCAGCAAGGCCCUCUCACAGUGUCUAGUCAUGAAUGUACUGCUUCCACUUUGCUCCUCUGUCAUCUUUCAAAAAUAAAAUUUA